rnacentral:rRNA from 1 species
GAUGAACGCUGGCGGCGUGCCUAACACAUGCAAGUCGAGCGAGAACCGCUGGAAUGACACUUCGGUAGAAUGAAAGCGGGGAAAGCGGCGGACGGGUGAGUAACGCGUAGGUAACCCUGCCCCAUACACAGGGAUAGCCUAGGGAAACCUGGAUUAAUACCUGAUGAAGCAACUGGUCGCAUGACCGGCUGCCAAAGAUUUAUCGGUAUGGGAUGGACCUGCGUCUGAUUAGUGAGUUGGUGGGGUAAUGGCCUACCAAAGCGACGAUCAGUAGCCGACCUGAGAGGGUGAUCGGCCACAUUGGAACUGAGACACGGUCCAAACUCCUGCGGGAGGCAGCAGUGGGGGAUAUUGCACAAUGGGCGGAAGCCUGAUGCAGCAACGCCGCGUGAGCGAAGAAGGUCUUCGGAUCGUAAAGCUCUGUCCUGGGGGAAGAAACAAAUGACGGUACCCCGGGAGGAAGCCCCGGCUAACUACGUG